rnacentral:rRNA from 1 species
UACAGAGGUCUCAAGCGUUGUUCGGAUUCAUUGGGCGUAAAGGGUGCGUAGGUGGCGGGGUAAGUCAGGUGUGAAAUCUCGGGGCUCAACCCCGAAACUGCACUUGAUACUGCCUUGCUCGAGUACUGGAGAGGAGAUUGGAAUUUACGGUGUAGCAGUGAAAUGCGUAGAUAUCAUGAGGAAUACCAGAGGCGAAGGCGGCUCCCUGGACAAUUGCUGACACUCAGGCACGAAAGCGUGGGGAGCAAAAGGG